UACGAAGGGGGCUAGCGUUGCUCGGAAUGACUGGGCGUAAAGGGCGCGUAGGCGGCUGUCACAGUCAGGCGUGAAAUUCCCGGGCUUAACCUGGGGGCUGCGCUUGAGACGUGGCGGCUUGAGUGGGGAAGAGGGUCGUGGAAUUCCCAGUGUAGGAGGUAGAAAUUCGUAGAUAUUGGGAAGAACACCGGUGGCGAAGGCGGCGACCUGGUCCUUGACUGACGCUGAGGCGCGAAAGCGUGGAGAGCAAACAGG
rnacentral:rRNA from 1 species